UUCAGGUUUUUGUCAAGGAGGAAAGAUGGAAGUGCACGAAGCAGAUGAUGGGGAAAUAUCAAUUAUUUUCUUUAAAAUUUCCAUCAAUUCAAGUAACUUUAGGUUAAGAAAUUUGCUGCCGCCUGUAAUCCAGAGACUGAACUCCUUGAGGAAGAUGCCAUAGAGAUGCCUGUGGAGACUGCACGCUGCUCCAGGAGAUUCUGAGCAAACCAGAUAUGCGAGAUUGAACUUUGGGGGGGGGUUAAAUUCACUUGUUUUUGUUAAAAUUCAUUUUUUUAUUAACUACAUUUGUUUUGCUAAAUGCUUUUAAUUUUGUAUGUUGUGUGAAAGGGGACUGCUUCCUAAUUAGCUUUGUUCUUAUCUCCCUUUUGUUUCCUUAUCCCCAGGUUGUUGUAUUUUCCCCCUUGUAAAAUUGUAUGUAUCUUUAGUUUACAACAUUUGAAUUUAAACUAACUAACUAACUAAACUAAAUAAAUGUUUAGUUACAGUGUUUGAAAUUGGGGAG
rnacentral:lncRNA from 1 species